rnacentral:lncRNA from 1 species
CUGGGAUUACAGGCAUAGGCCACCACGACUGGCUAAAUUUUUUUUUUUUUUGUAUUUUUAGUAGAGACGGGGUUUCACGAUGUUGGCCCGGCUGUCCUCGAACUCCUGGACUCAAGUGAUCUGCCGUCCUUGGCCUCCCAAAGUGCUGGAAUUACAGGCGUGAGCCACUGCACCUGACCUCCAUUUUCCUCUGGUCUUUCAGAGAGCCCAGGCAGAAGCUAUUAUCAUCAAAGGAUGAUUGCAGAAAGGAUGACCUACAAGUGGAUGGUCAGAUCUGGCUGCAAAUGGAUGUCUGAAAGAAAACGGGGAUCCUAGGAAACCCAUCACAGCCCUCUAUGAGCUUCAGAAACCAGCAAGAUGGGAUUUCGGAUGUUGGAAUCAUGAGGCUUUUGUUUAAGAGUUGCUUAAGAUGUUCUUCAGAUCCUGAAUUCCAGCAGAACAGCUGACAUCCACAACCAGUUUGAGGAUCCCCACAGAAGAGCUGAAUCAACAUGAGAAUGCAGUUUCUUCAUCUCUCCAGUCCAUGACUUCACCCUGCAAUCCCCACAGAAGAGCUGAAUCAACAUGAGAAUGCAGUUUCUUCAUCUCUCCAGUCCAUGACUUCACCCUGCAAUCCCCACACCUCAGCCCACUCCAAACCCCUUACAAACUCCUCAGGGAGGCAAAUCUGAGGUUUCCUUCCAUCUCCUUGUUCAGAUGCCCUAUGAUUAUUAAACCCUUUCUCUGCUGCAAUCCUUGAGGUCAGUGUGUCCACUUGCCAUGCUUUAGGUAAGGAACCUGUUACAGUCACACUUCCAUGUCCUCUUCCACGGUGCCACUCUCCCACCACAUCAAUGUUACCAACCCAGAAGCUCUCUAAAUUUCACUGUUCAAGAGUAUUUAUCAAAGCUUUGUUUUGUAGGUGUGUUUGAUCAAAUCAUUGGCCAUUGGUGAUUGAGCUCAAUCUCCAGCCUUUCUCCCCUCCCGGGAGGUUGGAGGGUGGGGUUAAAUGUUCAACCCUCUGAUCCCAUGUUUGGUCUUUCUGGGGACCAGUCCCCAACCUAAAUCUAUCUAAGGCCACCCUGAGUCACCUCAUUAACAUAAACUCUAGUAUGGUCAAAAGGAGCUCAUUAUGAAUAACAAAAGAUACACCUAUCACUCAAGAAAUUCUAAUAAUUUAGGAGCUCUGUGCCAGGAACUGGAGGCAAAUAAAGACCAACUAUAUUAUACCACAACUCAACACCAUUAAUUUGAUUUAUAAAGCUAUGAAGUUAGACAGUGAGACAAACUUUCCUGAACCAUGUACGCAAAGACCACCCCCAAAAUUUCCCCCAAAGUUACUUCCCGAAGAAGCUUUGUCAAAAUUUCCAUUAGAAGUUAUUUUCGGCCAGUGCUUCCAACCCGCUUCCUUAUUUCAAUCAGCAAAUGGGCUCCAUCUGCACUGCCAUGGGCCUUUCUUUACCCAGGCUCUUUUCUCUCCAGUCCCACUGUUGUGUUUUGUCCAAAAUGCAACAUGCGGAAAAGCCUCCUGGGGAGGCUACCUCUCCUCUGAGCAUAGUGAUUUGAACAGAGGACCUUUUGCAAAUUUUUGUCUAG